CUACGGGCCGCUGCAGUAAGGAAUAUUGCACAAUGGGGGAAACCCUGAUGCAGUAACUCCGCGUGAUCGAUGAAGCUUUUCGGAGUGUAAAGAUCUUUUCUGAAGGAAUAAUUCUGAAGGUACUUCAGGAAUAAGCACCGGCUAAUUACGUGCCAGCAGCCGCGGUAAUACGUAAGGUGCAAGCGUUAUCCGGAAUCAUUGGGCGUAAAGCGUUCGUAGGCGGUUUAUUAAGUCAGAUAUUAAAUCUUAAGGCUCAACCUUAAAAUCGUAUCUGAAACUGGUAAACUAGAGAAAUGCAGGGGUACAUGGAAUUCUGUAUGGAGGGGUAAAAUCCGUAGAUAUACAGAGGAACACCAAAAGCGAAGGCGGUGUACUGGGCAUUUUCUGACGCUGAGGAACGAAAGCGUGGGUAGCGAACGGGAUUAGAUACCCCCGUAGUC
rnacentral:rRNA from 1 species